GCCCCCACAGCUUGUGGGGCGCCUAUCUUUUCUUGAGGGUCGUGGGCAGCCCUAGGCUAAAGAAGAGGGGGAGGACUGGGAGCCCAGCGGGACGCGCGCUCGGUGAGGAGGAGGAGGGAACCGGCCCGAGGUGUGGAGGGCGCUGACGUGUUUGCUCCGGCACCUCGCAGUGUCACUCCGGACUUCCGAGUGUCGCCCUGCGCCCACCCGGUUUCCUCCACGAUUAGAGAUAGCCUCUAAACAUGAGUAGCAGUCAUGGCUGCAAGCGGCAUUAUCAAGCAAACGGUGCAGAACCAGGAUGCAGAAGGAGGAAAUGGCAUGGCAAUUGAGAAACCUGCAAGUAUUCUGGGGCAAAACAGGGUCCUGCAGAUUUAACCCAUUAAGAUGAUGUGAUGCUGGAUCACUAGGCCCUAAAUCUACUGACUGCUGUCCUUAUAUGAUGAGAGGAUGAAGAGAUACAUAGACAGAGGAAGAAGGACAUGUGAAGAUGGAAGCAGAGAUUGCAGUGAAGUAGCCAUAAGCCAAGAACCGGUGGGAGCCAGUAGGAGCUAGGGAAAGGCAAGGAAAGUUUAUUCCAAAGAGCCUUUAAGAAGCAUAGCCCUGCUGGCAACUUGAUUUCACAUAUCUAGCCUCGAGAACUGGGAGAGAAUAAAUUUCUGUUGUUUUAAGCCACUCAGUUUGUGGUACUUUGCUGUAGCAUCUCUAGGAAUACAACAAAGGGAUCAAGAUCAAAAAUUAUAAAGUGCUACCAGAUUGAAUUUAUUGGUAUGGGCCCACUAAGAUAUUCUACUUUUUUAAAUUAACUUUUAAAAAAAUAUAUUUUUUAUUGACUUUAGAGAGGAAGGAAGAGGGAGAUAUAGAAACAUCAAUGAUGAGAGCAAAUCAUUGAUCGGCUGCUUUCUGCCUGCCCCUCACUGGGGAUCGAGCCCGUAAUCUGGGCAUAACCAGGAAUCAAACCGUGACCUCCUGCUUCAUAAGUCAGUGCUAACUACUGAGCCAGGCUGGCUGGACUAAUAUAUUCUAGAUACAACAUUUUUAGAAAAGCUUAACUGUUUGAUUGGUUGUUUUUUCCUAUCAUGAAUGAUAUGAAACUGGGAAGUUAACACAAGAUGGCUUUGGGGACCCACUGUGAUGUCCUGGUUGCGAUCCUGGAACCAAAAAAGACAUAAGGUUAAAGGAAAUCUGAAUAAACCAUUGACUUUAGUUAAUAAUAAUGACUCAAUAUUGGCUAUUAAGUAUAAAAAUUGUACCAUAUUAAUAUAAGACAUUAAUAAUGGGGGAAACUAAGUGCAAGGUAUAUAGGGACUC